GACGAACGCUGGCGGCGUGCCUAAUACAUGCAAGUAGAACGCUGAAGGAGGAGCUUGCUUCUCUGGAUGAGUUGCGAACGGGUGAGUAACGCGUAGGUAACCUGCCUGGUAGCGGGGGAUAACUAUUGGAAACGAUAGCUAAUACCGCAUAAUAGUAGAUGUUGCAUGACAUUUGCUUAAAAGGUGCAAUUGCAUCACUACCAGAUGGACCUGCGUUGUAUUAGCUAGUUGGUGAGGUAACGGCUCACCAAGGCAACGAUACAUAGCCGACCUGCGAGGGUGAUCGGCCAAACUGGGAAUGAGACAAGGGCCAGAAUCCUACGGGAGGCAGCAGUAGGGAAUCUUCGGCAAUGGACGGAAGUCUGACCGAGCAACGCCGCGUGAGUGAAGAAGGUUUUCGGAUCGUAAAGCUCUGUUGUAAGAGAAGAACGAGUGUGAGAGUGGAAAGUUCACACUGUGACGGUAUCUUACCAGAAAGGGACGGCUAACUACGUG
rnacentral:rRNA from 1 species